AGACAUGUACAUUUAAAUAUAAACAACGAUGUAUUCGGUAACUACAAAUGUAUUAACAAGUUUUAUUGAUAAAAUAAUAAAAAUGAAUGAAGAUCUUAUACAACGAAUCAAAAACACUUUAAUAUCAGUGAGUGAAUUUUAUGAGUGAAAUUUGAUUAAGAGAUUCUAUAAAAUGACACUGUAUUUCAAAAAAUGACACUUGUAUACUAAAAUAAAAUUUGUAAAAACGCAAUUGUAAUUAAAUGAUUUACGUGAGAUAAAUAAUGACAAUGAAUAUUUACCAAGAGAUCUUAAUUAACAAAUAUGUACAGUAUUACAUGGAACUUAUAUCCUCCAGAUGGAAAAAAAUGUAUUACAUAUCAACUUCAAAAUAUAAGGAAUUGGAAAUAUUAUUCCAAAUAUUAAAGUAAAAAAAUAUAAAACCAAUUAUAAGUGCCAAAAACAAGAUGGAUACUUCUAUUACAUUUAACAAAUGGACUACCUGGAUAUAAAGUAAUGAUUACUGGACUUAUGAUAUACAGAUGAGGUAUUAUUUUAUUAAAAGAAAGUAAAUUUAGAGAAAUUGACGGAGAAAUAAAAAAUUUAUCCGUCAUCAAUGCAUUAGAAAAUGUUCUAACUUGAACUUUAAACUGUUCAGAAAAUACAGACUUCUAUACAAUAAAGGUUAGAAGAUAAUGAAAGACCACUUGCUACAAAUGAUUUCUUUGAAGAUGAUUUUGAAAUCAAUUUGGAAGAAAUUACACAAAUUGAGCAAUGAAAUCAAGAGAUAAAUAAUAUAUGCUAUAAAUAUACUAAAUAGAUUAGAAUAAAUAGACUAACUAGAAUAACUUGUCUAGUACAAAAAAUAUUAAAUAACAAAAUUUUAUUUAUCCAAAAGAUCCAUCAAAACAGAAUGACAAACAUAAAAAGAAUAAUAUUACUGAAACUUUCGAUACAGAUUAUAGAAAGAUUUUUUGGAUUUAACGUUAAGGAAUUUUCCCAAAAAAAGGAAACAUGCAGAAACUAAUGGUGAUAUAGAACAUAAAUUAAGAAUGUGAUAUUUUAGAUUUGCCAUAAUGCAGAAAAAUUUGAACAAUUGGAUGUUUUAUUAGAAUUGAAAUUGAAACUAAAUCACAAAGUAAAAGUUGUAAACAUUACGCCGUUAAGUAAUUAAUAUAAAGGAAAUAAUUGAUAAAUUGAUGAA